UAAUUGUUAACCAAAAAAAAUGACAAACUCCGUACGUCUGGUUGUUACAUAUGUAUGCAAGGAUUCUCUUUCCACCAUUUACAAUAAAAUUAAUUUAUGUAUAGCCUACUUAAGAUGCCCACUACAGAGUUAAAAAUUGCAAUUGAGUAGUCAAAGUUCUUUUUGCUUGGUUAUGAUUAUAUCAGUAUUCUUCCUGUUUCUAGAGAUAUCAUAAUAGUAUUAUUCAAGUAUAAUAUGUAGAUAUUUUUUAAUGCAAGAAGUUAUUGUGUUUUUAAAUUUUAUGGUUGGCUCUCAUUGAAUAAGCUCCUGAAGUUGUGGUAGUUGUUUUGCAUAAGGUUAUCUAGACUAUCAAUGGAUUACAAUAAGCUCCUAAAGUUGUGGUAGUUGUUUCGCAUAUCCAUUGAUUACUGAAAAGGAUAUGCACAAUAUAUUAUCCACGGUAAUCAUGAUGAGUAAGAUGAUCUUAUCACACAUCUCGAAAGGACCAGCCUUAGUUUGUAGCUUGUGGUUUACCUUCAUUUUUAAAUAGUUGGCAGUGUUAUGAAACUAGGAGUCGUCAGUUUUAUGUACAUGCGAUCUACUUAGUGGUGUUUAAGUUGUUUGUUAUGCCUUGCUUUAUGUUCUGUUUCUCUUAGUUAUGUUUUAAGAUUUUUGACUAGCUAAUUAUUUUUAUUGAUCAUGUAAAUUUGUUUGUCGAUAUUUCUUUUGAUUAUUAAGUACGUAUUCUACAUUUAUUUUAGUUAGUGAUUGAUAUUUUAUUCUAUAUAUAUUUCAGGCUAAGAACUUGGCAAAUUGGGUGUAAGUAUUACCUCUUAGAUUUGAAGAUCAUUUAUUGUAUUAACACAUAACCAAAGUUGCAAUACCUUUUGGGUGGGAAUUUAAAUGUUACUGAUAAUGCUCUAUUGUGAAUCAUAGGAAGUUGAUUGAUGCUUACCGUUUAUGGUUACUUGAAGUAGAAAGGGGAAAUGCACAAUAGUAAAAGGAUGAACGCUGACAUACCAAUUUCAAAUCGUCGAGGCUCGACUGGAAAAAGAUGGCAUUGCAACAAGAUGUAUUAGGGGAAACAUGAGGUUGAAAAACAGAGUUGUUGCAACAUGAUGAGUUGACCUAGUGCUUGUGACUUUAGUGUUCUUUUUUAGAGUAACUAUAUAAGUUAGAGUUUUGACCUCCUGUAAUAUAGUGAAUUGUAUUGAAAUGAAAUUCAAAUAUUUUGUAAAUUUUCUUUUAUUUGCUAUCAUAGUAAAAUAUUACAGAUUGUUCUUAUAUUAUACAUUAUUUUGAAUUUUAUAGAAAUAUCAUUAUGUA